ACAAGCUUGAGGGAAGCCAGGCUGGGGACGCUUGCUGGGUGCCUCGCCUCAGACUCCAGAGCUCUCUGGGUCCCUUAUCUCAGGCCUGCUGGGCUGCGUGUGCCAACUUGUCUCCAUACAUGUUUACGUACUCAGUGCGUGAAGGACUUUGGACUCAGGAAGAAGCCUCCAAGAGGGAAAGUGUAAGAGGAGCUGAGGUGAGUACCAGGAUCUGCUCUGGAGCUGGGAGCCCAGCGAAGGCCAGCACUCUCAGGCCUGUGAGCACCGGGCCUCCAUGGUCUCAGGCUGGGCAUCUGAACUGCUGGCAGAGCAGCCAAGCAGGGCCUGAUCUUCACAAGCUGAUCACCUCACCAGCUAUGCCAGGCUGUGGCUGGACUCAAGGGCACGACUUAGGAUAAGAAACUGGCUCUGUCGACUCCUCUGUUCAAGAGCUUACAGGUGAUUCUUGCACCAACCUGGCAGCUGUCUUCCAGGACCCUGAGGAUUUACCCCAUGUGGACGUUACAACUGACCAUCACAAGCCGAGCACGAGACAGGAUGGAGACUGGUGAAAAAGGAGGAACGCCUUCUGGAGUUUCACCCAGGAAGAUCUAGUUCUGUUUGUGCCUGAAGGGAAAGAAGACCAGGGAUCCCGGCCUUCCUUCUCCCUCAUGUGAGUGACCGUAAUCCAUGGGGGAAUUCAUCUCUUGCCCUCACCAUGGCCAAGGUCUGCUCUACACAUGGGCCCAGAGGCCACACUUUUAGUACUUCGGAGAAGCUGAUGAUGGCAUCUGUGACAUGGGAGGUCUUUCAUCCUGAGGCAAGGGUAUGAGUUCUGCCAGCCCUCUGUACCAUCUGGAAGCAAC
ensembl:lncRNA